rnacentral:rRNA from 1 species
AAGUUGAUCAUGGCUCAGAGUGAACGCUGGCGGUAGCCUAACACAUGCAAGUCGAACGGCAGCACGAGCAGAGCUUGCUCUUUUGGUGGCGAGUGGCGGACGGGUGAGGAAUACAUCGGAAUCUACCUUGUCGUGGGGGAUAACGUAGGGAAACUUACGCUAAUACCGCAUACGACCUACGGGUGAAAGCGGAGGACCUUCGGGCUUCGCGCGACUAAUGAGCCGAUGUCGGAUUAGCUUGUUGGCGGGGUAAAAGCCCACCAAGGCGACGAUCCGUAGCUGGUCUGAGAGGAUGAUCAGCCACACUGGAACUGAGACACGGUCCAGACUCCUACGGGAGGCAGCAGUGGGGAAUAUUGGACAAUGGGCGCAAGCCUGAUCCAGCCAUACCGCGUGGGUGAAGAAGGCCUUCGGGUUGUAAAGCCCUUUUGUUGGGGAAGAAAAGCAGCUGGCUAAUACCCGGCUGUCCUGACGGUACCCAAAGAAUAAGCACCGGCUAACUUCGUGCCAGCAGCCGCGGUAAUACGAAGGGUGCAAGCGUUACUCGGAAUUACUGGGCGUAAAGCGUGCGUAGGUGGUUGUUAGUCUGAUGUGAAAGCCCUGGGCUCAACCUGGGAAUUGCACUGGAUACUGGCAGGCUAGAGUGCGGUAGAGGAUGGCGGAAUUCCCGGUGUAGCAGUGAAAUGCGUAGAGAUCGGGAGGAACAUCCGUGGCGAAGGCGGCAUCUGGACCAGCACUGACACUGAGGCACGAAAGCGUGGGGAGCAAAACCAGGAUUAGGAUACCCUGGGUAGUCCACGCCUAACGAUGCCGAACU